rnacentral:lncRNA from 12 species
UGCGGCUCCUGAAUCCUCAUCGAGGAGGCAUGCGAUCCAAAUAGCGCUUGAAAAGUGUUGGAGGCCGGUUAAACCUCAGAGAGGUGUGGUGCUGCUUGCGUUUGCACAAACAAUGGAGUGAAGAGUGUUGUGUGGGAUUAGAGCACAUUGUCAAUGGUUUAGUAGGUUGUUCAGUGUUUUCCUGAGCUGAGCUGCACACGCAGCCUCGUCUUCUCCUGCGAGUUGGAGCCAGAUCUGCUGGUUUGGAAGGGGGUUGUGGGUGUGUAUGUGACACAUCAUUGGCUUGGGCUGCACAUACAAUCAGUCUCAUCAUUGUAAACCAGCAUGUAACCACGCAUUGGGCUGAUAACUACAUCCAACACACAAUUCCUUCAUGUUCUUUUUCUUGGAGUAACAAGCCAAUGCGUGCAGAUUUCCAGCAGUCUUUUGUAGACGAAAGUGUUUCUUCUAGUUCAUUGGGCAUUGGUGAAGGCACACAGCCGGCGUGUUUCAAACACAAAACCUGAUGUGUUGAUUACAAUCCAGAGAAGAUCGUUCCACAAAGCUAUCAUUACCCGGUGCCAUCUGUGAGAGGGAGUUGCAUUUUUGUGCUGCACGGAAUGGAAAAGCCUACAUCAGUUUUUCCAGCAUUUGUUUCUUCAAAAUAAAGCAUCAGGUUUUGACAGUCGAGCUCCAUUGAGGAAUUCUGGGUUGUUUCCUGGAUGCAGAAUAAGCAUAGUCCAUAAGACAUCUGUUGGAGGAG